GUGGGGAAUCUUCCGCAAUGGACGAAAGUCUGACGGAGCAACGCCGCGUGAGUGAUGAAGGUCUUCGGAUUGUAAAGCUCUGUUAAUCGGGACGAAAGAGCCUAGUGUGAAUAAUGCUAGGAAGUGACGGUACCGGAAUAGAAAGCCACGGCUAACUACGUGCCAGCAGCCGCGGUAAUACGUAGGUGGCAAGCGUUGUCCGGAAUUAUUGGGCGUAAAGCGCGCGCAGGCGGAUCUGCCAGUCUGUCUUAAAAGUUCGGGGCUUAACCCCGUGAUGGGAUGGAAACUACAGGUCUAGAGUAUCGGAGAGGAAAGUGGAAUUCCUAGUGUAGCGGUGAAAUGCGUAGAUAUUAGGAAGAACACCAGUGGCGAAGGCGACUUUCUGGACGAAAACUGACGCUGAGGCGCGAAAGCCAGGGGAGCGAACGGGAUUAGAAACCCCGGUAGUCC
rnacentral:rRNA from 1 species